rnacentral:tRNA from 1 species
CAUUAAGUGGCUGAAACAAUUAAUAAGCAUUGGUCUCUUAAACCAAAUUAUGGUAAAGAAUAUUACCCUUAAUGA